rnacentral:rRNA from 1 species
GGCGUGCUUAACACAUGCAAGUCGAACGGAAAGGCCCUGCUUUUGUGGGGUGCUCGAGUGGCGAACGGGUGAGUAACACGCGAGUAACCUGCCCUUGACUUUGGGAUAACUUCAGGAAACUGGGGCUAAUACCGGAUAGGAGCUCCUGCUGCAUGGUGGGGGUUGGAAAGUUUCGGCGGUUGGGGAUGGACUCGCGGCUUAUCAGCUUGUUGGUGGGGUAGUGGCUUACCAAGGCUUUGACGGGUAGCCGGCCUGAGAGGGUGACCGGCCACAUUGGGACUGAGAUACGGCCCAGACUCCUACGGGAGGCAGCAGUGGGGAAUAUUGCACAAUGGGCGGAAGCCUGAUGCAGCAACGCCGCGUGCGGGAUGACGGCCUUCGGGUUGUAAACCGCUUUCGCCUGUGACGAAGCGUGAGUGACGGUAAUGGGUAAAGAAGCACCGGCUAACUACGUGCCAGCAGCCGCGGUGAUACGUAGGGUGCGAGCGUUGUCCGGAUUUAUUGGGCGUAAAGGGCUCGUAGGUGGUUGAUCGCGUCGGAAGUGUAAUCUUGGGGCUUAACCCUGAGCGUGCUUUCGAUACGGGUUGACUUGAGGAAGGUAGGGGAGAAUGGAAUUCCUGGUGGAGCGGUGGAAUGCGCAGAUAUCAGGAGGAACACCAGUGGCGAAGGCGGUUCUCUGGGCCUUUCCUGACGCUGAGGAGCGAAAGCGUGGGGAGCGAACAGGCUUAGAUACCCUGGUAGUCCACGCUGUAAACGGUGGGUACUAGGUGUGGGGUCCAUUCCACGGGUUCCGUGCCGUAGCUAACGCUUUAAGUACCCCGCCUGGGGAGUACGGCCGCAAGGCUAAAACUCAAAGGAAUUGACGGGGCCCCGCACAAGCGGCGGAGCAUGCGGAUUAAUUCGAUGCAACGCGUAGAACCUUACCUGGGUUUGACAUGGAUCGGGAGUGCUCAGAGAUGGGUGUGCCUCUUUUGGGGUCGGUUCACAGGUGGUGCAUGGCUGUCGUCAGCUCGUGUCGUGAGAUGUUGGGUUAAGUCCCGCAACGAGCGCAACCCUUGUUCACUGUUGCCAGCACGUUAUGGUGGGGACUCAGUGGAGACCGCCGGGGUCAACUCGGAGGAAGGUGGGGAUGACGUCAAGUCAUCAUGCCCCUUAUGUCCAGGGCUUCACGCAUGCUACAAUGGCUGGUACAGAGAGUGGCGAGCCUGUGAGGGUGAGCGAAUCUCGGAAAGCCGGUCUCAGUUCGGAUUGGGGUCUGCAACUCGACCUCACGAAGUCGGAGUCGCUAGUAAUCGCAGAUCAGCAACGCUGCGGUGAAUACGUUCCCGGGGCUUGUACACACCGCCCGUCAAGUCAUGAAAGUUGGUAACACCCGAAGCCGGUGGCCUAACCGUUGUGGGGGAGCCGUCGAAGGUGGGACUGGUGAUUAGGACUA